rnacentral:tRNA from 1 species
GCGUUUCUAGCUUAAUGGAUAGAGCACAGGAUUUCGACUCUUGUUGGUAGAGGUUCAAGUCCUCUGAAACGUU